GCAGCAACGCGCUGACGGUGGCGCAGAAGAUGAUCGAGAUGUUCGUCAGGACCAAACACAAAAUCGACAAAAGCCACGAGUUCGCCCUGGUGGUCGUCAACAACGACGUCACCUGGCUGUCGGGGUUCACCUCAGACCCCCGCGAGGUUUGCAGCUGCCUCUACGACCUGGACACCGUCGUGUGCCAGUCCUUCAAUCUGGACGGGCUCUUCAACCUCAU